rnacentral:rRNA from 1 species
UCUUCCGCAAUGGACGAAAGUCUGACGGAGCAACGCCGCGUGAGUGACGAAGGUUUUCGGAGCGUAAACCUCUGUUGUUACGGAAGAACACGUACCGUUCGAAUAGGGCGGUACCUUGACGGUACCUACCCAGAUAGCCACGGCUAACUACGUGCCAGCAGCCGCGGUAAUACGUAGGUGGCAAGCGUUGUCCGGAAUUAUUGGGCGUAAAGCGCGCGCAGGCGGUUUCUUAAGUCUGAUGUGAAAGCCCCCGGCUCAACCGGGGAGGGUCAUUGGAAACUGGGGAACUUGAGUGCAGAAGAGGAGAGUGGAAUUCCACGUGUAGCGGUGAAAUGCGUAGAGAUGUGGAGGAAAACCAGUGGCGAAGGCGACUCUCUGGUCUGUAACUGACGCUGAGGCGCGAAAGCGUGGGGAGCGAACAG